CCCUACGGGAGGCAGCAGUGGGGAAUAUUGCACAAUGGGGGAAACCCUGAUGCAGCGACGCCGCGUGAGUGAAGAAGUAUUUCGGUAUGUAAAGCUCUAUCAGCAGGGAAGAUAAUGACGGUACCCGGAGAAAAAGCAUCGGCUAACUCCGUGCCAGCAGCCGCGGUAAUACGGAGGAUGCGAGCGUUAUCCGGAUUUAUUGGGUUUAAAGGGUGCGUAGGCGGAUCGUUAAGUCAGUGGUCAAAUUGAGGGGCUCAACCCCUUCCCGCCAUUGAAACUGGCGUUCUUGAGUGGAAGAGCAGUAU
rnacentral:rRNA from 1 species